rnacentral:rRNA from 1 species
UACGUAGGGUGCAAGCGUUGUCCGGAAUUAUUGGGCGUAAAGAGCUCGUAGGCGGUUUGUCGCGUCGGCUGUGAAAACCUGGGGCUCAACCCCGGGCCUGCAGCCGAUACGGGCAAACUAGAAUUCGGUAGGGGAGACUGGAAUUCCUGGUGUAGCGGUGAAAUGCGCAGAUAUCAGGAGGAACACCGGUGGCGAAGGCGGGUCUCUGGGCCGAUACUGACACUGAGGUGCGAAAGCGUGGGGAGCAAACAGG